UGAGGAAUAUUGCGCAAUGCCCGAAAGGGUGACGCAGCGACGCCGCGUGGAGGAUGAAGGCCCUCUGGGUCGUAAACUCCUUUGGUAGGGGAAUAACAGGUCGCUACAGGCGGCCGUGAAUGUACCCUAAGAACAAGCAUCGGCUAACUACGUGCCAGCAGCCGCGGUAAUACGUAGGAUGCGAGCGUUGUCCGGAUUUACUGGGUGUAAAGGGAGCGCAGGCGGAUCUGUAAGUCGGUGGUGAAAUCCUCAGGCUCAACCUGGGAACUGCCACCGAAACUGCGGAUCUUGAGUGUGGAAGAGGUCGAUGGAAUUCCUGGUGUAGCAGUGAAAUGCGUAGAUAUCAGGAAGAACACCGAUGGCGAAGGCAGUCGACUGGUCCACAACUGACGCUCAUGCUCGAAAGCGUGGGGAUCAAACAGG
rnacentral:rRNA from 1 species